rnacentral:rRNA from 1 species
AUUGAACGCUGGCGGCAGGCCUAACACAUACAAGUCGAGCGCGCGGCGGACGGGUGAGUAAUGUAUGGGGAUCUGCCUGAUGGAGGGGGAUAACUACUGGAAACGGUCGCUAAUCCCGCAUACCAUCAGAUGAACCCAUAUGGGAUUUGCUGGUAGGUAAGGUAACGGCUUACCUAGGCGACGAUCCCUCGCUGGUCUGAGAGGAUGAUCAGCCACACUGGGACUGAGACACGGCCCAGACUCCUACGGGAGGCAGCAGUGGGGAAUAUUGCACAAUGGGCGAAAGCCUGAUGCAGCAAUGCCGCGUGUAUGAAGAAGGCCUUAGGGUUGUAAAGUACUUUCAGCGGGGAGGCGUUACCCGAAGAAGAAGCACCGGCUAACUCCGUGCCAGCAGCCGCGGUAAUAC